rnacentral:rRNA from 1 species
AACGAACACUGGCGGCAGGCUUAACACAUGCAAGUCGAACGCCCCGCAAGGGGAGUGGCAGACGGGCGAGUAACGCGUGGGAAUCUACCCAGUUCUACGGAACAACACAGGGAAACUUGUGCUAAUACCGUAUACGCCCCAAGGGGGAAAGAUUUAUCGGAAUUGGAUGAGCCCGCGUUGGAUUAGCUAGUUGGUGAGGUAAUGGCUCACCAAGGCGACGAUCCAUAGCUGGUCUGAGAGGAUGAUCAGCCACACUGGGACUGAGACACGGCCCAGACUCCUACGGGAGGCAGCAGUGGGGAAUAUUGGACAAUGGGCGCAAGCCUGAUCCAGCCAUGCCGCGUGAGUGAUGAAGGCCUUAGGGUUGUAAAGCUCUUUCAGUGGGAAGAUAAUGACGGUACCACAGAAGAAGCCCGGCUAACUUCGUG